GCGCCGAUAGUUUAAUGGUUAGAAUGCUUGCCUUCCAGUAAGUGAUAGAAGCUUGAUAGCAGGCGAUAGGGGUUCGAUUCCCCUUCGGCGCA